rnacentral:rRNA from 1 species
UACGGGGGGAGCAAGCGUUGUUCGGAUUUACUGGGCGUAAAGGGCGCGUAGGCGGCGCGACAAGUCACUUGUGAAAUCUCCGGGCUUAACUCGGAGCGGCCAAGUGAUACUGUCGUGCUAGGGUGCGGAAGGGGCAACUGGAAUUCUCGGUGUAGCGGUGAAAUGCGUAGAUAUCGAGAGGAACACCUGCGGCGAAGGCGGGUUGCUGGGCCGACACUGACGCUGAAGCGCGAAAGCCAGGGGAGCGAACGGG